rnacentral:rRNA from 1 species
UGGGGAAUUUUGGACAAUGGGCGAAAGCCUGAUCCAGCAAUGCCGCGUGUGUGAAGAAGGCCUUCGGGUUGUAAAGCACUUUUGUCCGGAAAGAAAUCCUUGGCUCUAAUACAGUCGGGGGAUGACGGUACCGGAAGAAUAAGCACAGGCUAACUACGUGCCAGCAGCCGCGGUAAUACGUAGGGUGCAAGCGUUAAUCGGAAUUACUGGGCGUAAAGCGUGCGCAGGCGGUUUGCUAAGACCGAUGUGAAAUCCCCGGGCUCAACCUGGGAACUGCAUUGGUGACUGGCAGGCUAGAGUAUGGCAGAGGGGGGUAGAAUUCCACGUGUAGCAGUGAAAUGCGUAGAGAUGUGGAGGAAUACCGAUGGCGAAGGCAGCCCCCUGGGCCAAUACUGACGCUCAUGCACGAAAGCGUGGGGAGCAAACAGGAUUAGAUACCCUGGUAGUCCACGCCCUAAACGAUGUCAACUAGUUGUUGGGGAUUCAUUUCCUUAGUAACGUAGCUAACGCGUGAAG